rnacentral:rRNA from 1 species
UACGAAGGGAGCUAGCGUUAUCCGGAUUUACUGGGUUUAAAGGGUGCGUAGGUGGAUUUGUAAGUCAGUGGUGAAAUCUCCGAGCUUAACUCGGAAACUGCCAUUGAUACUAUAAGUCUUGAAUUAUCUGGAGGUAAGCGGAAUAUGUCAUGUAGCGGUGAAAUGCUUAGAUAUGACAUAGAACACCAAUUGCGAAGGCAGCUUACUACGGAUAUAUUGACACUGAGGCACGAAAGCGUGGGGAUCAAACAGG